rnacentral:rRNA from 1 species
AUUGAACGCUAGCGGGAUGCUUUACACAUGCAAGUCGAACGAGUGGCGGACGGGUGAGUAAUAUCUUGGAACCUGCCCAGUAGCGGGGGAUAACUACUCGAAAGAGUUGCUAAUACCCCAUACUAUUGGAGCGGCCGAUAUCGGAUUAGCUGGUUGGUGGGGUAACGGCCCCCCAAGGCAACGAUCCGUAGCUGGUUUGCGAGGACGACCAGCCACACUGGGACUGAGACAAGGCCCAGACUCCUACGGGAGGCAGCAGUGGGGAAUUUUGGAAAAUGGGGGAAACCCUGAUCCAGCCAUCCCGCGUGUAUGAGAAGGCCUGCGGGUUGUAAAGUACUUUUGGCAGGGAAGCGGUAUCUGCAGAAUAAGCACCGGCUAACUACGUGCCAGCAGCCGCGGUAAUUC